CACUGAGAUAUUAUUCUUUUUUCAAUAUCUUUUUGUGGAGUAAUGCUUUUGGGUUUCUGCCUUUUGGGCAGCUGCCAUUUGUUAAUUUCUGCUGUAUUUGGAAGAUGGUGGUGGUGGUCCUUUCCUUUUGCAGAUAAGCUGAGCUGAGUGCUUAAUGGGCAAGUUCUCUAAUGAAGAACAGCGUUGAGCUUCUUCAUCAAGAUCCUUUACCCAUGAUUAUGAGGGAAUUUGGCAACAAUGAUAACCAUGACAGAAAACCUUUUGGCAUUGUCUAGAAUUUAAUGAGGCUAUUCCCAAUCCCAUUGCUUUGAAUCUUGUGGAACCAGAUGCAGAUCCUGUUCUUCUGAUGAAUGGUAUGGUGGGAAGAUUUUGAGCCUUAACUGAGCUUCAAUCUCCAGGUUCCCAGUGAAAAUGGGGUGAAUUAAUAGGUAUGGGAAUUAGGUAUUCAUCCCAAGUGUUGAUUUAUCUCUUAGAUUUCAGAGUUGUGAUUUAUUGACACUGAUUUUUCUUUGUCAAAUAUAUCUUAUAAGGACAAUAUUUCUUCUC